UGAGAGGACCUUUCCCUAGUACGAGAGGACCGGGGACGACGCACCUCUGGUGUACCAGAUAUCGUGCCCACGGUAAACACUGGGUAGCCAAGUGCGGAGCGGAUAAAUGCUGAUGCUGUUAAAGCUCAUGUCAACACCUUGAUUA
rnacentral:ncRNA from 1 species